GUUGGAGUAGAAAGAAGACGAGACCAACGGGAUCCUGUCAGGUUGGAGUAGAAAGAAGACGAGACCAACGGGAUCCUGUCAGGUUGGAGUAGAAAGAAGACGAGACCAACGGGAUCCUGUCAGGUUGGAGUAGAAAGAAGACGAGACCAACGGGAUCCUGUCAGGUUGGAGUAGAAAGAAGACGAGACCAACGGGAUCCUGUCAGGUUGGAGUAGAAAGAAGACGAGACCAACGGGAUCCUGUCAGGUUGGAGUAGAAAGAAGACGAGACCAACGGGAUCCUGUCAGGUUGGAGUAGAAAGAAGACGAGACCAACGGGAUCCUGUCAGGUUGGAGUAGAAAGAAGACGAGACCAACGGGAUCCUGUCAGGUUGGAGUAGAAAGAAGACGAGACCAACGGGAUCCUGUCAGGUUGGAGUAGAAAGAAGACGAGACCAACGGGAUCCUGUCAGGUUGGAGUAGAAAGAAGACGAGACCAACGGGAUCCUGUCAGGUUGGAGUAGAAAGAAGACGAGACCAACGGGAUCCUGUCAGGUUGGAGUAGAAAGAAGACGAGACCAACGGGAUCCUGUCAGGUUGGAGUAGAAAGAAGACGAGACCAACGGGAUCCUGUCAGGUUGGAGUAGAAAGAAGACGAGACCAACGGGAUCCUGUCAGGUUGGAGUAGAAAGAAGACGAGACCAACGGGAUCCUGUCAGGUUGGAGUAGAAAGAAGACGAGACCAACGGG